CCGACCCACACAGAGUUAUAUCUGCAGGUCAGAGGCUGUCAUCACCCAGCAAAGUGCGGUAGUGUGUGACGCUCCGUGCUACAUAGAGGGAAAGCGGUCUCAGAUUCCGACACCUUGCCAGAACAACGUCUCUGUCAGCAAGCCAAAGACUGUUGCAGAGAUGAUAGUUUCAAACCAGUGGUGUUGUGGGUGCUCGCUCAGGAUGGCCACCAUAAUCAUUGCCGUCUUGUGUAUGGUUUGGUGCCUUUUUCAAUUAGCAAUAAUAGCGUACAGUUUGCACAACUCCCUUCAGUACUUCAACGGUGAUGUAAACAG